rnacentral:rRNA from 1 species
UACGUAGGGUGCAAGCGUUGUCCGGAUUUAUUGGGCGUAAAGAGCUCGUAGGCGGUCUGUCGCGUCGGAUGUGAAAACCCAGGGCUCAACCCUGGGCCUGCAUUCGAUACGGGCAGACUAGAGUGUGGCAGGGGAGACUGGAAUUCCUGGUGUAGCGGUGAAAUGCGCAGAUAUCAGGAGGAACACCGGUGGCGAAGGCGGAUCUCUGGGCCUGUCCUGACGCUCAGGCGCGAAAGCUAGGGGAGCAAACAGG